AGAGCGAACGCUGGCGGCAGGCCUAAUACAUGCAAGUCGAACGCACCUUCGGGUGAGUGGCGGACGGGUGAGUAACACGUGGGAACGUGCCUUUGGUUCGGAAUAAUCCGGGGAAACCUGGCCUAAUACCGGAUGUGCCCCCUCCUUUAACCAGGGGGGUGGGAAAGAUUUAUCGCCAUUAGAGCGGCCCGCGUCUGAUUAGCUUGUUGGUGAGGUAAAGGCUCACCAAGGCUACGAUCAGUAGCUGGUCUGAGAGGAUGAUCAGCCACACUGGGACUGAGACACGGCCCAGACUCCUACGGGAGGCAGCAGUAGGGAAUCUUGCGCAAUGGGCGAAAGCCUGACGCAGCCAUGCCGCGUGAAUGAUGAAGGUCUUAGGAUUGUAAAAUUCUUUCAGCGGGAAGAUAAUGACUGUACCCGCAGAAGAAGCUCCGGCUAACUUCGUGCCAGCAGCCGC
rnacentral:rRNA from 1 species